rnacentral:rRNA from 1 species
UACGGAGGGUGCGAGCGUUGUCCGGAAUCACUGGGCGUAAAGGGCGCGUAGGCGGCGCGGAUAGUCGGCGGUGAAAGCCCGGAGCUCAACUCCGGGUCGGCCGUCGAUACUUCCGGGCUUGAGCACUGUAGAGGCAGAUGGAAUUCCGGGUGUAGCGGUGGAAUGCGUAGAGAUCCGGAAGAACACCGGUGGCGAAGGCAGGUCUCUGGGCCACUACUGACGCUGAGAAGCGAAAGCGUGGGGAGCGAACAGG